rfam:Gossypium hirsutum cultivar TM-1 chromosome 9, whole genome shotgun sequence
AACCCAUAGUGAGGGCACCUUCUCAAUAAAUCCUUGUAUCUCUCCCAUGUAUCAUAAAGUGAUUCUAAAUCCAUCUGCACAAAAGAAGAGAUACCAUUCCUGAACUU